GGGUCUGUGUGCCCUGGGAGUGGAGAUGAGGAAACAAGCAGCGCCCCUGGCUGAGGAAGAAGGAAGGAGGCAGCCUGGGUUUUCCCGUGGACAGAUGGCUGCUCAGCUGCAUGACCUGAGGAAGGUGGAAGCUGCCAAGAAGGAGUUCGAGGAAUAUGUGAGGCAGCAGGACAUAGCCACGAAGCGCAUAUUCUCUGCGCUGCGGGUCCUGCCAGACACCAUGCGGAACCUCCUCUCCACCCAGAAAGAUGCCAUUCUGGCCCGCCAUGGUGUGGCCUUACUCUGCAAGGGGAGAGAUCAGACCUUGGAGGCACUGGAAGCUGAGCUGCAGGCCACGGCCAAGGCCUUCAUGGACUCCUACACGAUGCGCUUCUGUGGCCACCUAGCUGCUGUGGGGGGUGCUGUGGGGGCCGGGCUCAUGGGCCU
rnacentral:sRNA from 1 species